UUUUGACACAUACCCAUCAGGUGAGGUAGCUUGGGUGAGUGAUGGAGUGUGUAUCUCAUGCGUGGUUAGGGUGCCAACAUUCAUAGGCGUGUCCAACGUCUUUGUUAUUAAUGACUGCAAUUUCGCCAAAUCCGAAAAACACACAAAUUGUUAUUAUUUGAAUGUGUAGUAUGUGAACACAUGGUUGUGCAUUAGAGGUGGAGAUGAUUUUAUGCGGGUCAUACCCUUAUCUAGUGGGGCAUAUGCAUUUGUAUUUUCUAUGGAUGGCAACGAUUACACUUUUGUCAUCUCAAUCUAUUGUAACAGUAAAGGACCAUAAUGGAUUCAAAAUAUUUGAUUCUUCCACAAAGAUAUUCAGAGAACUAAGAUUCUUCCUUUUUUCUCAUUCAUUAUUUCUUUUCUAUUCAAAAUAUCAAAUGUAAAAUCACCCUCAAAUUCCGUAAAUAACUAUGGUUCUUCAUUUUCUUUGUGAGUUUUAGGAAGAGUAUGUCUUCUUUUUCUUUGUGGAUGAUUUUUUGGUGAUGGUGGCGGUGAGUCCAAUGGUGGCUUGUGGCAGUGCUAAUAGUGGAGGUGUGAAGGAUAAUGACUACAUUUGUGCAGUGAAAAUGGUCAUCAUGGGAGAGGUGGUGGUUAUCAUUGUAAUCUCAUUUUCAUGUGUUGUAGUUGUAGUACCCAAUGAUGAUGUGCAAUAUGGAGAUACAGUUGUCAUUGUAAACUUCUCUCUCUUGUAAUUCAAUGUAUGAUUGUGGUAGGAUGAAUAAGCCUGACAAGUGAUUUUUCUCUUUAAUUUCUCAAGCAUAAAGGUCUUAACAAUAAAGAUUUGUCAUCGGAGUUGUCAUCAUCUUCAUUCUUAUGUUUGAUUACUAAAUCUUUUUCUAAGAUAAGUAAUAUCUCUCUUAUCUCCGUAAAGAUAUCUAUAACGGGAGGAUGGAAAGUUGUGAUUGUUGGGAUCUGAAAUGGUAGUGGUUUAGGGGGUGUUGGUUGAAUAAUUUCCUAUGUAUACUCUUUGGUGUUAUUGUCAUAGUAAGACUUCAAUUCGUAUUGAAAUACUCUAUCCAAGAAUGAAAAUGAUGGUAAUAGAUAUGAUGAGACGAAUAAUAUGGUUGUGGUGUUGGCCACUGUGGAAAUGAAGGAAAAUAAGAAUAAGUUUGAG
rnacentral:lncRNA from 1 species